GGGGCAUUCCCGCCCACCGGCUCAGCUACCCCUGACACUACUCCUCGGGCCUAGUUGAGGUGUGGGAGCCCGGGGACACACUGCCUGCAACUGAUACUCCGUAUGCACGGCCUUACCGGCCUCUGAGUUGGACGGUGGACGGCCGACCGCACCUCCCCAACGGCGUGUAGCUGCCCAGCGGCCUUCUCGAUCCCGCGGCAGGUGGGGCUGUGUCCAGGGCUCCAGCGGUGAGUGGGCAUGGUAGGGCCAUGCGGGUAGCUCGGUACCGCCGUUGAGGACUGGGGGAGGACCUCAUGAGGGCCGGGAGCCUCCUCUGCCGAUGAGGUAGGCUCCCAUGGGUCUCUCUCCCCUGUCCCCCAUUCUGUCUCUUUCCCCCACCCUCCUUUUAAUGGUCUUACCCUUGGGUCCCCUAUGUGUCUGCCAGGGGGUCCAGCUUGCUCUGGGAGCCCCCUGGUUUCCCUCCUGCUUCUUUCUGUCCUUCUGCCCCCCUCUUCUGCCCCCCUCUUCCCCCACCUUUCCCUUUUCUUCUUUCCCUCCUGUAGCGGUUACCCCGGGUAGUAGAGGGGUUUCCACCGCUGGAGGGUGUCCUUCUUCCGAUGAGUGAGGUGUAUUCUCAGCAUCCAGUAGUCUUCCAGGUGCGAGAGAGCUCUUACAAAAGAUCUAGCGUGAUUAGCUGUAUAGCUGGUUACCC